rnacentral:lncRNA from 1 species
AUGGGGAGACCCUGCCCUGUGAAAGUCCAUUACUCUCUUGCUUGAUAGCUGCAAGAAAUGUGCAACGAAUUAAUAGAGGCGGAUUUUACAGCAAGAAAAAUCAACAAAAAUGUCUAAGAUACAAUCAUGCUAGAGACCACAGCUACGCAAGGAAACAAUCAUGAAGGUAAAUUCAUACGGUGCGGCAGCACUGGUGUGGGAUUGGCCGUAAACAGUAGAGCCUCCAUGGUCAAGCCAGAAUGCUAC